rnacentral:ncRNA from 1 species
AACGACCGGUCGGACACGCGUGCCCCUCAGCAGGCGGGUUCGGCCCACAAGUGGAGGCUCCGAUCUCCCACCCGACCACCCUCCGGGGCGGCGGGUCACCCCGGUCAGGCGGCCGCCAUCGUUCCGUACGGACGAUGGAGUCGCCCGGUAGUGCGCCCCGCGAUCCCUCGCGACGGUGCUCCGGUAGUGCUUGGAGCCCCGCAUGUGAUCGUUCGGGGCAUUUUUU